rnacentral:rRNA from 1 species
UACGUAGGUGGCAAGCGUUAUCCGGAUUUAUUGGGCGUAAAGAGAACGCAGGCGGUCUUUUAAGUCUGAUGUGAAAGCCUUCGGCUUAACCGGAGUAGUGCAUUGGAAACUGGGAGACUUGAGUGCAGAAGAGGAGAGCGGAACUCCAUGUGUAGCGGUGAAAUGCGUAGAUAUAUGGAAGAACACCAGUGGCGAAAGCGGCUCUCCGGUCUGUAACUGACGCUGAGGUUCGAAAGCGUGGGUAGCAAACAGG